rnacentral:rRNA from 1 species
GCUGCUGUUAAAGAGCUCGUAGUUGGAUCAGAGUACACGGUGCAAGGUGGCCUCGUUUGUGUCCGUGGCUCCGGUCGCUGGCACGGCGUUGGAUCAACCCCUUGCACUAAACCGUUGUCUCUAACAGGCCGAAGCGGUUCCCUGUGAGUAGGCCACUUCAUUGGGGCUGAAAGCGAUUACGCAUCUACCACAUGCAUACGGGACGUCGGCCAAUGUUACUGUGAACAAACCAGCGUGUCCAAAGCAGGCUUUCGCCUGAAUGUUCGAGCAUGGAAUAACAAGGGAUCGAUUCUCUCGGUUCUUUUUGUUGGUUUUUAACCCGAGAAGGAGUAAUUCAGGCCACGGUGUCUGGGCUGGGUUCCCCUAGGCUUCGGCUUAGGCCCCAGUUAGGCCGUGUUCUUACGGGAUAAAUAGGGACUGACGGGGUCGUACGUACUUCCACGUCAGAGGUGAAAUUCUUAGAUCGUGGGAAGAC